rnacentral:rRNA from 1 species
UACGUAGGGUGCGAGCGUUAAUCGGAAUUACUGGGCGUAAAGCGUGCGCAGGCGGUUCGUUAAGUUCGAUGUGAAAGCCCCGGGCUCAACCUGGGAACUGCAUUGGAAACUGGCGAGCUUGAAUGCGGCAGAGGGGGGUGGAAUUCCGCGUGUAGCAGUGAAAUGCGUAGAGAUGUGGAGGAACACCGAUGGCGAAGGCAGCCCCCUGGGCUAACACUGACGCUCAUGCACGAAAGCGUGGGGAGCAAACAGG